AAAAUAAAUAGUUUUGCCUAGGACUGAGCCCCAGUUCAGAUGGUUCCUUCCUUGACUUGUGCAGAAUUCUCUAGUUUAAAAAAGACAAGCUCAAAAAUUUAUAAAAACUAAUAGUGAGUUUCAGGCUGCUGCAUCAACCCACAUAUAUAAAGAUACUGAAAGAUCAAAAGGAUGUCUCCUAAUGAAAUUGCAAGUGAAGAAAAUUCUCCCACACACUCUUCUGAUCAAUCCAGAGAGAAGUACUGCUAACCAGGGCCAGGAAGGAAGAAGAAACCGGAGAAGGGAGAGAAGAAAAUGUAAAAAUCGGUGCUCGAGUUGUAUGAUCCUGCUCGGCUUCCAUCAGAGGCGAAGAAACUAGUGUAUAUUGCCGGGAGAACAGAGGGGUAACGUCGAAGUGGAAGUUGCCAGCGCCUUCUUUAAAUUGCUUCAUCAAACGAGUGUUUUGUUUUGUUCGUAGGUCCGGGAGGGCUGGCAGAGGCCAUAGGGAAAAGGUCGCCGACCCCUGCAACUGGGGCCUCCGUCUCUUCUGUCCCUUGGAGAUUCACAGUCUAGGGCCCUUCGUCCUUUCCUCUCUCCCCUUUUCUCCAGGAAAAUGUUCCACAGCUGGAGCUAGUUCAGCUCCUCACCCUCUCCUCUCCAUCCCCAGUCACGGCCCUUUCCAAAGCC
rnacentral:lncRNA from 1 species